GGCUUGGUGGUGUUAUGGUCUAACAUUACGGUGCCGCGGAUCGGCCCGAGGCGCGGGUUCGAAUCCCGUCUGAGCCG
rnacentral:tRNA from 1 species